rnacentral:rRNA from 1 species
AACGAACGCUGGCGGCAGGCCUAACACAUGCCAGUCGAGCGCACCCUUCGGGGUGAGCGGCGGACGGGUGAGUAACGCGUGGGAACGUGCCCUUCUCUGCGGAAUAGCCUCGGGAAACUGAGAGUAAUACCGCAUACGCCCUUUGGGGGAAAGAUUUAUCGGAGAAGGAUCGGCCCGCGUUGGAUUAGGUAGUUGGUGGGGUAAUGGCCCACCAAGCCGACGAUCCAUAGCUGGUUUGAGAGGAUGAUCAGCCACACUGGGACUGAGACACGGCCCAGACUCCUACGGGAGGCAGCAGUGGGGAAUCUUAGACAAUGGGGGCAAACCUGAUCGAGCCAUGCCGCGUGAGUGAUGAAGGCCUUAGGGUUGUAAAGCUCUUUCAGCUGGGAAGAUAAUGACGGUACCAGCAGAAGAAGCCCCGGCUAACUCCGUG